rnacentral:rRNA from 1 species
UACGUAGGGUGCGAGCGUUGUCCGGAAUUACUGGGCGUAAAGAGCUCGUAGGUGGUUUGUCGCGUCGUCUGUGAAAUUCCGGGGCUUAACUCCGGGCGUGCAGGCGAUACGGGCAUAACUUGAGUACUGUAGGGGAGACUGGAAUUCCUGGUGUAGCGGUGAAAUGCGCAGAUAUCAGGAGGAACACCGGUGGCGAAGGCGGGUCUCUGGGCAGUAACUGACGCUGAGGAGCGAAAGCAUGGGUAGCGAACAGGAUUAGAUACCCCUGUA